rnacentral:rRNA from 1 species
UGAACGCUGGCGGCGUGCCUAAUACAUGCAAGUCGAGCGAACGGACGAGAAGCUUGCUUCUCUGAUGUUAGCGGCGGACGGGUGAGUAACACGUGGAUAACCUACCUAUAAGACUGGGAUAAUUUCGGGAAACCGGAGCUAAUACCGGAUAAUAUUUUGAACCGCAUGGUUCAAAAGUGAAAGACGGUCUUGCUGUCACUUAUAGAUGGAUCCGCGCUGCAUUAGCUAGUUGGUAAGGUAACGGCUUACCAAGGCAACGAUGCAUAGCCGACCUGAGAGGGUGAUCGGCCACACUGGAACUGAGACACGGUCCAGACUCCUACGGGAGGCAGCAGUAGGGAAUCUUCCGCAAUGGGCGAAAGCCUGACGGAGCAACGCCGCGUGAGUGAUGAAGGUCUUCGGAUCGUAAAACUCUGUUAUUAGGGAAGAACAUAUGUGUAAGUAACUGUGCACAUCUUGACGGUACCUAAUCAGAAAGCCACGGCUAACUACGUG